UACAGAGGUGGCAAGCGUUGUUCGGAAUUACUGGGCGUAAAGGGCGAGUAGGUGGCCAUCUAAGUCAGACGUGAAAUCCCCCGGCUUAACCUGGGAACUGCGUCUGAUACUGGACGGCUUGAGUAUGGGAGAGGAAUGUAGAAUUCCAGGUGUAGCGGUGAAAUGCGUAGAUAUCUGGAGGAAUACCGGUGGCGAAGGCGGCAUUCUGGACCAUUACUGACACUGAAUCGCG
rnacentral:rRNA from 1 species